rnacentral:misc_RNA from 1 species
CCCUUACGCAGUCAUUGCCGACUCGUUAUCCCGACGGCUUCUUCGAUGUGAUUAUCGCGACAGAAGUCAUCGAACAUCUGCUCGAUUCCGAAUUGGACGGAAUGCUCACCGAAUGCCGCAGGCUGCUGAAGCCCGGCGGACAGGUUUUUUUCACAACGCCUAACAAUGAGGACUACGACGCUUCUAAAGUCCUUUGCCCCGAAUGCGGCUGUACGUUUC